GUGAAGAACGUAGCGAAAUGCGAUAAGUAAUGUGAAUUGCAGAAUUCAGUGAAUCAUCGAAUCUUUGAACGCACAUUGCGCCCGCCAGUAUUCUGGCGGGCAUGCCUGUUCGAGCGUCAUUACAACCCUCAGGCCCCCGGGCCUGGCGUUGGGGAUCGGCGGAGCCCCCCGUGGGCACACGCCGUCCCCCAAAUACAGUGGCGGUCCCGCCGCAGCUUCCAUCGCGUAGUAGCUAACACCUCGCGACUGGAGAGCGGCGCGGCCACGCCGUAAAACACCCAACUCUUCUGAAGUUGACCUCGAAUCAGGUAGGAAUACCCGCUGAACUUAAGCAUAUCAAUAAGCGGAGGA
rnacentral:misc_RNA from 1 species